AUGACACCAAGGAAGGUGUUAAAGGCCUUGUUGAUGCUGGGAUAACAGUGGUUCCUAGAAUUUUUCAUCAACCACCAGAUCAGUACUCCACCAACAACAACUUUGAUUCAGAAGCCACCCAGUUUAGCGUUCCAGUCAUAGACCUUGAAGGCCUUGAGUUAAAUAGACCAAUGAAACGCAAGGAGAUUGUUACAAAAGUUGGAGAGGCAUCAGAGACUUGGGGAUUUUUUCAAAUUGUGAAACACGGAAUACCUAUUGAUGUUUUGGAGGAGAUAAAGGAUGGGGUACGUGGGUUUUAUGAGCAAGACACUCAAGUGAAGAAACAGUUUUAUACUCGAGAUCACUUCAAACCUGUGGUCUACAAUAGCAACUUUGAUCUACACAGAGCACCAGCGACUAAUUGGAGGGAUUCUUUUAUGUGCUACAUGGCUCCUAAUCCUACUAAGCCAGAAGACAUGCCAGAAGUAUUCAGGUAUGUGACAUGGAAACUUAUAAUUCUCUGCUAUCAUUAGAAAAUUUAAGAUGGUAUUAAUUAAUUUGAUACAGAUACGAACCACCCAUAUGGGUUUUAUAUAUAUGGGUAGGCAGCAUCACCAAACAAACAUGCACCUAGCUAGCCCAUGACAAAUGGUAUUAGAGCAGGCCUAGUUCCUUAUCUGUUAUGGCCUGUGACAAAGCUGUAUCGUGUCCGGGAGGGGUAGAAUGUCCCAAACAAGAAUCCCAUAUUUUAAAUAAGAAUGAACUUAAUCCAAGGUUUAUACAUGAGUAAGUAGGUGACAUCUGACAGUAGGCCAUUUGCCUUUUCUAAACAUAAAUCAAAAGUCAUUCAGCUCACGAUUUUGGUUAAAUGCCUGGCUCUACAAUUUUUAAUUGAAUCAUAUAUAUAUAUGACAACUUCAUGUGCUUUUCUGUGUUUCAACUUUUAUAGAGACAUACUUAUUGAAUACUCCAAGCAAGUAAUGAAAUUGGGGAAGUUGUUGUUCGAGUUGCUGUCGGAGGCUCUUGGGCUAAAGCCAAGUCACUUGAAUGACAUAGAUUGUAGUUUAGGGCUUGUGCAUGUAGGCCAUUACUAUCCUUCAUGUCCCCAGCCAGAGUUAACUCUGGGGACAAGCAAGCACGCUGACAAUGACUUUAUCACAGUCCUUCUGCAAGAUCAUAUUGGCGGUCUCCAGGUUCUUAAUCAGAACAAGUGGAUUGAUGUACCUCCUGUUCCUGGGGCUCUAGUAGUUAACAUUGGAGAUCUUCUACAGGCGAGUACAACUAUUCUUCUUCUUCUUCAUUGUUUUUUUCUUUAAUUGAAAGGGAGAUGUUAUUUAUACUUCUUAAAAGGGAGUAGGCUGGAGUAGUAUAUACUAUUAUUGUACCUGAAUAUGUCUCAAAUUCUUCCAUCUGGUUUCCUACUUUGGGUUUUUUUUCUUGUUCUUUUUAAUUUUUUUUUAUGGUUGAGUUCUUUUGGGGUUGCAGCUUAUAUCAAAUGAAAGAUUCAAGAGCGUCGAGCAUAGGGUACUAGCGAACCGUGUAGGUCCAAGAGUAUCGGUUGCAAGUUUCUUUAGCACAGGUAUGCUACCAUUGGGGAGACUCUAUGGACCUAUCAAAGAACUAUUAUCAGAAGACAACCCCCCAAAGUACAGGGAGACAACCAUAAGGGAAUAUAAUGCCCACUUCAUUGACAAAGGCCUUGAUGGGACCUCAGCCUUGACUCAUUUUGAGCUUUGA
rnacentral:lncRNA from 1 species